AUGAAAACUGGAAAUUCUCAUAAAAGCAAGAAGGUGUCCCAAAUAUGUAUCAUGCAUAACAUACCAUAAAGGUGAUCAGCCAAUGAUCCCCCAGAGUAUACAAAGAAGAGUUCAGAUAGUGGACCUCAUUGAUAAAAGAAUCAGCCCCAAGUUGGCUUUUAUCAAACCUCACUUUCACGGCUACUAAUUUUCCAUCUCGAAGCUUUCCAAGGAAUACUGCAAGAGAUAAGAUAAGAGCAAGUACUGCUCCACCAACUGCACCAGCUAUAAUUGCUAUAUGAUUAUGUCCACUUUGCUU